rnacentral:rRNA from 1 species
AACGAACGCUGGCGGCAUGCCUAACACAUGCAAGUCGAACGAGACCUUCGGGUCUAGUGGCGCACGGGUGCGUAACGCGUGGGAACCUGCCCUUAGGUUCGGAAUAACUCCCUGAAAGGGGUGCUAAUACCGGAUAAUGUCUUCGGACCAAAGAUUUAUCGCCUUUGGAUGGGCCCGCGUUGGAUUAGCUAGUUGGUAGGGUAAAAGCCUACCAAGGCGACGAUCCAUAGCUGGUCUGAGAGGAUGAUCAGCCACACUGGGACUGAGACACGGCCCAGACUCCUACGGGAGGCAGCAGUGGGGAAUAUUGGACAAUGGGCGAAAGCCUGAUCCAGCAGUGCCGCGUGAGUGAUGAAGGCCUUAGGGUUGUAAAGCUCUUUUACCCGGGAUGAUAAUGACAGUACCGGGAGAAUAAGCACCGGCUAACUCCGUG